ACUAACGAACUCCCUUUUGCCAAUACGUUUUCCUUGAGUUUUGUUUGUCUUGUUCGUUUUGUUUUUAAUUUGUUUAUGUUUUCAGUUCUUCGCUUUGAAACAAUUAAACAUUAAUCAUGCAGUGCACUAGUACAUUACGGAAACGGGACUCCUUUCGAUUGUAUAAGAUUCUCCGCGACAGUCCCCCAUCGAUUAUGAAUCACCGAGCAAGCUUCACCAUGGUGGAUAGUUGCCAUGAAGUUUGGGGGCUGAUUGCCGUCGCAAAUUAGGUUAUGAUCUCCGUGCAGAAAUGAAAAAGACAAAGCCCGACCAAAUCGAGUGAAAACGUCUCUUUCUCCUCCGACAGAUCCAGGCGAAAACAUUCAGACUGUGGAUGGUGGCGAUCGAUAGGCAACACUGGGAGCAAGGCGGUAUAAAACCGUCCCGCCAAACUGCGCGAGCCGUCUCGCGCAAUUUCCCGCUACCUACCGUAUCGUCUUCUUCUCAAGUCUGCUAAAAAAAAGAAGAGGAAAAGUGAAAAAUAUUAAUGGACGACACUGCAGUGAGAGAGUUGUCCCUCCGGACCGAGCUCCACCUGGUGUGAGGGAUCAGGCUUUUGGACUCUGGACGUAAUUGUGGCAGAGAUUAAUCGGCUGAUGAUACCAGAACUCGGAGUCCCGAGCCGCUCGGCCGCAUUCGUGUGUGAAGGUUCGGACGUCGUCGACAGCAGAAACCCAAAUGCAUCUGUAAGUGUCGUUCGCAGAAACCUUUCAAUUGGAUACUGUUGGUCACGUGAUGACAGCCAAAUCGUCCCACUUGUUUUAAGAUUUUAGUUUUGUUAGUUUUGUUGGAAGGAAAAGGAAAAUACACCAGUUCGCCCGAAACGUUGUCUUGGACGUCGUUGUCAGUGGUUUUGUUGUUGUUGUUAUUGUUAAGACGAGGUUCACUACAUUGUUUGUUUUAUUCUUUAAGACGUUGUUGAUGACUUUGGGUUCUCUAAGACUUGAUCCACAACGGUCUUUUAUUAAAAAUAUUUUACGACGUGCUUUCACUAAAACGUACAUCACGACGUUGUUGAUGACUUUGGGUUCUCUAAGACUUGAUCCACAACGGUCUUUUAUUAAGAAUAUUUUACGACGUGCUUUCACUAAGACGUACAUCACGACGUUGUUGUGAAUGUGAAAUGUCUGACGAUGUUGUUAUGAAGAUGUAUUCGAUGACAUGACUUCUGAUUUGUGUCCAAUUGGAUCUUGCCGCUGAAGGCGAUCAUAUUUUGGAGAGAGAUAACUCGUAACUCUGUGGUAUGUGCCGUACUGUACUAAACUGGACUGGGUUGAGUUCUAUGUGCUGCUGAGUAAACAGAUUAAAGCAGAUCUUCUGGACCCCUCACCAAAGUUUCAAAACAGACUGAGUGCUGAGACAACAUCGAUUAGCAGACGUCUUCUUUAACACACCGCCGACCAGGACGACAAAUGGACAUAUUUCUACACAAAGGAAUGGAAUUUCGCUGGCGCAGGCAUCACCGCGGU